AGUGAACGCUGGCGGUAGGCCUAACACAUGCAAGUCGAACGGCAGCACAGUAAGAGCUUGCUCUUACGGGUGGCGAGUGGCGGACGGGUGAGGAAUACAUCGGAAUCUACUUUUUCGUGGGGGAUAACGUAGGGAAACUUACGCUAAUACCGCAUACGACCUACGGGUGAAAGCAGGGGAUCUUCGGACCUUGCGCGAUUGAAUGAGCCGAUGUCGGAUUAGCUAGUUGGCGGGGUAAAGGCACACCAAGGCGACGAUCCGUAGCUGGUCUGAAAGGAUGAUCAGCCACACUGGAACUGAGACACGGUCCAGACUCCUACGGGAGGCAGCAGUGGGGAAUAUUGGACAAUGGGCGCAAGCCUGAUCCAGCCAUACCGCGUGGGUGAAGAAGGCCUUCGGGUUGUAAAGCCCUUUUGUUGGGAAAGAAAAGCAGCAGGUUAAUACCCCGCUGUUCUGACGGUACCCAAAGAAUAAGCACCGGCUAACUUCGUG
rnacentral:rRNA from 1 species